UUCCCCUUCCCCUUCCGUUGCAAUAAAGACAUAUGUAACAAACUUUACCGUCAAUAUCACGACUAGAAGAGAAGUGUUCCCAUGCAGGAUCAGUCUUUACACGGCUAGAAGGUAUGGAACCUAUAGAUUGCCUUUCUAAAAACUGAGUAUUGUCGUCCAUCCUAAUUCCUAAAAUAACCAUAGUUAGACAGAAUACAAUUACCAGUAAAAUUUUCAAACGAAGAAACCAGUAAGGUAGGAGAAAAAGAGAAUAAAAUUCAAGUUCCUUUAUUGAUGGAUAAGUUUGUGAUUACACAAUGGCACAAGUACAACCCUGAAUCUAACUAACAAUUAUAUAAAUUGUUAGAUACAUCAUAAAAAGGAACUUAUUACGAGAAACCAAGCAUAAUAUUCCUUCAACCUUCCAAACAACAAAUUGUAAUCCAUUGACAAAAAUGGAAAAACAAAUUCCAAAUAAAAGCAAUUUAGCUUAAGUUAAACCUCAUCAAAACAAGUCAACAAUAAUCCAAGAAAUGAAUAAAGGGCAAUAUAACAGAAUUACGUGAAGAAAAGGUUGGGUUUUUGCUCUUCCAAAUGCACAUUACAGCUCCGCAAAUCCAGAUUUGGCAGGUAAGAAAAAAGUACACAAAUUUCAAUAAAUUUCACAUAUCAAAUAUGAAAAUUGUUAUUCAAAAACUACAACAUAUGAAAAGUAAAUAAUUCUCAUCCCUAAAUUAAUUAGAAUCUAGAAGGAAAAUAAGUUCUUAAAAAAAAAAAAAAGGAAAAAAAAUGAAAAUCAAGUUAUUUAGAAGCAAACCAACCUGCUUUAGAAGUCCAUUAAUGGAAGAACAAGAUUUAAUUGAAGAACAAAGUAGAGGAUUUUGGAAUUUACCUUCUAUUGAUGCGGCCCACUGAAGAUGAGAGAAAGAUGAGGGUUUGAUUUCAAUUUUCAAUUGAAACAGGAAAUAAGGGUUUUUCAUUCUUUUCAC
rnacentral:lncRNA from 1 species